UAGGGAAUAUUGGACAAUGGGCGCAAGCCUGAUCCAGCCAUGCCGCGUGAGUGAAGAAGGCCCUCGGGUUGUAAAGCUCUUUUGUCCGGAAAGAAAAGCAUCGGGUUAAUACCCCGGUGUUCUGACGGUACCGGAAGAAUAAGCACCGGCUAACUUCGUGCCAGCAGCCGCGGUAAUACGAAGGGUGCAAGCGUUACUCGGAAUUACUGGGCGUAAAGCGUGCGUAGGUGGUUCGUUAAGUCUGAUGUGAAAGCCCUGGGCUCAACCUGGGAAUGGCAUUGGAAACUGGCGGACUGGGGUGCGGUAGAGGUUAGCGGAAUUCCCGGUGUAGCAGUGAAAUGCGUAGAGAUCGGGAGGAACAUCCGCGGCGAAGGCGGCUACCUGGACCAGCACUGACACUGAGGCACGAAAGCGUGGGGAGCAAACA
rnacentral:rRNA from 1 species